rnacentral:rRNA from 1 species
UACGGGGGGGGCAAGCGUUGUUCGGGAUUACUGGGCGUAAAGGGCGCGUAGGCGGCCACCGCAAGUCGGUUGUGAAAUCUCCGGGCUUAACCCGGAAAGGUCAAUCGAUACUGCGGGGCUAGAGUGCAGAAGGGGCAACUGGAAUUCUCGGUGUAGCGGUGAAAUGCGUAGAUAUCGAGAGGAACACCUGCGGCGAAGGCGGGUUGCUGGGCUGACACUGACGCUGAAGCGCGAAAGCUAGGGGAGCGAACGGG